UACGAAGGGGGCUAGCGUUGCUCGGAAUCACUGGGCGUAAAGCGCACGUAGGCGGAUUGUUAAGUCAGGGGUGAAAUCCUGGAGCUCAACUCCAGAACUGCCUUUGAUACUGGCGAUCUCGAGUCCGGGAGAGGUGAGUGGAACUGCGAGUGUAGAGGUGAAAUUCGUAGAUAUUCGCAAGAACACCAGUGGCGAAGGCGGCUCACUGGCCCGGUACUGGACGCUG
rnacentral:rRNA from 1 species